UACGUAGGGUGCAAGCGCUAAUCGGAAUUACUGGGCGUAAAGCGUACGCAGGCGGCUAUGCAAGACAGGUGUGAAAUCCCCGGGCUCAACCUGGGAACUGCAUUUGUGACUGCAUGGCUAUAGUUUGUCAGAGGGGGGUGGAAUUCCACGUGUAGCAGUGAAAUGCGUAGAGAUGUGGAGGAACACCGAUGGCGAAGGCAGCCCCCUGGGAUGUGACUGACGCUCAUGUACGAAAGCGUGGGGAGCAAACAGG
rnacentral:rRNA from 1 species